ACGAUACCACAACAAUAAUAUCAGCUUUUCAGUUGACUUUUUGCAGCUUAAAGACUUUUAACACAGGGUUUCUGGAAAAGGCUCCCUGACCAGGAUAAAGAGAUUAGUGAAGAUGAAUAAAUGAAUGGUAGUGGGGGUGUUACACAACUCCAAACAGGUCGAUGUUUCUUCAAAACUGUCCCAAAGUGGAAAAGUGUUGAAAUUCUUGUCCAUUGUAAUUACAAACACACUGCAGAUCUGGUGGGCUUAGACUGGGUGGAAAAACACAAAAGUUUUCUAUAAUUUUUUUUUGUAAUGAAAGUGGAUCCUAUC